GAUGAACGCUGGCGGCGUGCCUAAUACAUGCGAGUCGAGCGAACGGACGAGAAGCUUGCUUCUCUGAUGUUAGCGGCGGACGGGUGAGUAACACGUGGAUAACCUACCUAUAAGACUGGGAUAACUUCGGGAAACCGGAGCUAAUACCGGAUGAUAUUUUGAACCGCAUGGUUCAAAAGUGAAAGACGGUCUUGCUGUCACUUAUAGAUGGAUCCGCGCUGCAUUAGCUAGUUGGUAAGGUAACGGCUUACCAAGGCAACGAUGCAUAGCCGACCUGAGAGGGUGAUCGGCCACACUGGAACUGAGACACGGUCCAGACUCCUACGGGAGGCAGCAGUAGGGAAUCUUCCGCAAUGGGCGAAAGCCUGACGGAGCAACGCCGCGUGAGUGAUGAAGGUCUUCGGAUCGUAAAACUCUGUUAUUAGGGAAGGACAUAUGUGUAAGUAACUGUGCACAUCUUGACGGUACCUAAUCAGAAAGCCACGGCUAACUACGUG
rnacentral:rRNA from 1 species